rnacentral:pre_miRNA from 14 species
AAGUACUCAAUGUCGAAGAGCUGCUUGCAAGGUACCUAAUUGUUUGCACAUUUCUCAAUUGGUCCCCUCCAAGUAGCUCUAUUGCAUUGUUUGU